GGGAGGUAGCUCAGCUGGUAGAGCGGCAUAUCCCAAGGUGAACCCGUUCUUGCAAACUGAAAGGGCAAGCAAGAUGUGUGGGAUCCUUGGUGACGGCGGUCCCAUGUUCGAACCAUGGUCUCUCCA